rnacentral:rRNA from 1 species
GAGCGAUCAAGUGACCUAAGAGCAUUCGGUGGAUGCCUUGGCGGCAAGAGGCGAUGAAGGACGUGGUACGCUGCGAUAAGCUACGGUUAGCUGCGAACAGGCUUUGACCCGUAGAUUUCCGAAUGGGGAAACCCACCUUCGAUAACUGGAACUUCGAGGCCGGACGGCUUCGGGGGUCCUUCCCGGACGUCCGGCUUUGGAUUUCCGGUUAUCAGAUGAAGGUAUCUGACCCUGAAUACAUAGGGGUUAGAAGCAAACCCGGGGAACUGAAACAUCUAAGUACCCGGAGGAAAGGACAUCAACAGAGACUCCGCUAGUAGUGGCGAGCGAACGCGGACCAGGCCAGUGCUUCAGCUGAGACAAGUGGAACCUUCUGGAAAGUUGGGCCUCAGUGGGUGAUAGCCCCGUACACGUAAUGCAAAGCUGAAGACUCGAGUAAGGCGGGACACGUGCAAUCCUGUCUGAACAUGGGGGGACCACCCUCCAAGCCUAAGUACUCUUUGCCGACCGAUAGCGAACAAGUACCGUGAGGGAAAGGUGAAAAGCACCCCGACGAGGGGAGUGAAAGAGACCUGAAACCGGAUGCUUACAAACAGUCGGAGCUCGCAAGGGUGACGACGUACCUUUUGUAUUAUGGGUCAGCGACUUAAUCUGACGAGCAAGCUUAAGGCGAUAGCUGUAGGCGCAGCGAAAGCGAGUCUGAACAGGGCGUUCAGUUCGUCGGAUUAGACCCGAAACCUGUCGAUCUUGCCAUGGUCAGGUUGAAAGCAGGGUAACACCUGCUGGAGGACCGAACCGGUGUCUGUUGAAAAAGCCUCGGAUGAACUGUGGCAAGGGGUGAAAGGCCAAUCAAGGCAGGAAAUAGCUGGUUCUCC